rnacentral:misc_RNA from 1 species
GAUGAAGAACGUAGCGAAAUGCGAUAAGUAAUGUGAAUUGCAGAAUUCAGUGAAUCAUCGAAUCUUUGAACGCAUCUUGCGCUCCUUGGUAUUCCGAGGAGCAUGCCUGUUUGAGUGUCAUUUAAUUCUCAACCCCUCCAGUUUUCUUGACUGGUUAAGGUGGCUUGGAUGUGGGGGAUCAAUCUGCGGGCCUCUUUUAGAGGUCGGCUCCCCUGAAAUGCAUUAGCGGAACCGUUUGCGGGUCUGUCACUGGUGUGAUAAUUAUCUACGCCAAAAGACAUCUGCUCUCUGGGUUAUUUCUGCUUCAAAUUGUCCUUUGUUUUGGACAACGAAUAACUGAAUACUUGACCUCAAAUCAGGUAGGACUACCCGCUGAACUUAAGCAUAUCAAUAAGCGGAGGA